rnacentral:rRNA from 1 species
GACAAACGCUGGCGGCGUGCCUAAUACAUGCAAGUCGAACGGGGAAAGCUUUCGGGUGAGUACUAGUGGCGCACGGGUGAGUAACGCGUGGAUAAUCUGCCUUAGAGUGGGGGAUAACUAGUCGAAAGAUUAGCUAAUACCGCAUAAGACCACAAGAACUGCGGUUCAAGAGGUCAAAGGUUUUUCGCUCCAAGAUGAGUCCGCGUAAGAUUAGCUAGUUGGUGAGGUAACGGCUCACCAAGGCAACGAUCUUUAACUGGUCUGAGAGGAUGAUCAGUCACACUGGAACUGAGACACGGUCCAGACUCCUACGGGAGGCAGCAGUAGGGAAUAUUUCACAAUGGAGGAAACUCUGAUGCAGCGACGCCGCGUGAGUGAUGAAGGCCUUCGGGUCGUAAAGCUCUGUCGCAGGGGAAUAACACAAUGAAUGUACCCUGUAAGAAAGGAUCGGCUAACUUCGUGCCAGCAGCCGCCGUAAGAC